rnacentral:misc_RNA from 1 species
CUGCCCUCAAGCACGGCUUGUGUGUUGGGUCUCGCCGUUUGGCGGGCCUUAAAAUCAGUAACAGUGUCGUUGGAGGCCCUGAGCGUAGUAUAUAUUCUCGCUAUAGGAACUUCCACGGCCAUUAACCCUCACUUUCUAA